rnacentral:tRNA from 1 species
GGGGCUGUGCCUGAAGUAAAGGACCACUUUGAUGUAGUGAAUUAUGGAGGUUAAAGUCCCCCUGGCCCCU